GACGUAGGGCGCGAGCGUUGUCCGGAUUUAUUGGGCGUAAAGAGCUCGUAGGCGGCUUGUCGCGUCGAAUGUGAAAUCUCAGGGCUCAACUCUGACAUUGCAUUCGAUACGGGCAGGCUAGAGUUCGGUAGGGGAGACUGGAAUUCCUGGUGUAGCGGUGAAAUGCGCAGAUAUCAGGAGGAACACCGAUGGCGAAGGCAGGUCUCUGGGCCGAUACUGACGCUGAGGAGCGAAAGCGUGGGGAGCGAACAGGG
rnacentral:rRNA from 1 species